rnacentral:lncRNA from 1 species
GAAGAGCUGCCUGGGCUGCAGCCGCGGAAGCUGCGUUCUGGGGAGCGGGGAGCGUGCUCCGGCGCCUUCGGGCCGCUGCUGGAAGCCGGAACCGAGCCCGGGCCGCUGCCCCUCACCGGACGCCGCGCGCCACCGGCCCUCCGCGGGGCAGGGGCUGCUGCGAGCUCGCCGGGCGCCCUUUAGACGUAAGUCUCACCCUGCGCCCCGAGGCAGGAAGGAGCGCGUGCAGUCCCGGCCAGAAACGGCUAAUAGGAAGGGCUGAGGGGUUCUGUGUUCAAGGCAGAAGGCCGUGCGUCAGGGCGGCCCUCAGCGGAGAUGCGUGCACGGAGCGGGGAGCGCCGCUCGGGGCAGGGAAUGAAAGCGGCGCUUGAGACUGGAAAUUUAGGGAGAUGAGUUCCUUGGGAACAACGCUGAACCAUCUCACUGCCCCACCCUACCCCUUGUUAUUUUUUUUUGAGACAGGUCUCGCGCUGUCGUCCAGUCUGAGUGCAGUGACGCGAUCACGGCUCACUGCAGCCUCGACCUCCGGGGCUUACGGGUCAUCCCACCUCAGCCCUCUAAGUAGCUGGCACCACGGGCAUGCACCACCACACCCGGCUAAUUUUUUAAAAAAAGUUUUUCCGGAGAUAGGGUCUCGCUGUGUUACCCAGGCUGGUCUCGAACCCCUGGCCUGAAGCGAUCCUCCCGCCUCGGCCUCCCAAAGUGCUGGGAUUACAGGCGUGAGCCACUGCGCUCGGCUUUUCACCCCUUUCUAACGUUUUCCAUCCCUUUCUAACGUUUUCCAUACCCAGCGGUGCCCUGCCCACCCUCUCUUUAUCUCUCACUUUUCCCUCCUCUGUUUCUUCCUCGCUGAAGUCCAUUGGUGAAAGAAAAUUCAUGUGAAAGUUCUCAGAGUCGUCCUUGUCUACUCCACUACCAAAUGUUGAAGUUCUUCAAGAAUCAGUCCUUUGGAGGCAUUUAAGGAAAUCUGUUUCUCUUUUGGAUCACUAGCUGCAAAUUAAGCUAACAGAACAGGAGCUCAGCUGGUCACACACAGCAACGAAUACAGACUUUAUAAAGUUCAGAAAAGUUACCAAACAGUGGUAACCAUAACAAGUACCAACAAUGAACUAUGGGGAGGGAGGAGAAUCUGAUUUCCAGAGUUACCACAUUAUAAUACUAUUCAAAAUGUCACAUUUUUAGCAAAGAUUACAUGACAAGGAAAAACCAGAAAAGUAUGGCCCAUACACAGGUAAAAAAAGAAAUUAAUAGAAACUACCCCUGAAGAAGCACAGACUUCGGAUGUACAAAACAAAGACUUUUCAUCAACUCUUUUAGAUAUGCUAGAAGAGCUAAAGGAAACCAUGGACAGAGAACAAAAAAAUUAGGAAAGCAAUGUCUCAUCCAAUACAGAAUAUCAAUAAAGAGAUUGAAAUUGUAGAAAAGAACCAAAUAGAAAUUCUGGAGUUGAAAAGUAUUAUAACUAAAACUGAAAAUUCACUAGAGGUAUUCAGCAGCAGACUGGAGAAGUCAGAAGAAAGAAUCAACAGGCUUCAAGAUAGGUCAAUUAAGAUUAUACAGUCUGAGGAGCAGAAAGGAAAAAGAAUGAAGAAAAAUGAACAGAGCAUAAAAGACCUCUGGGACUCUAUCAAGCAUACCAGUAUAUGCAUGAGGGGAGUCCCAGAAGGAGAAGAAAGAGAGAAAGGGACAUAAUAUUUGAAGAAAUAAUGGUAGAAAAUGUCCCAGCUUUGAUGAAAUACAUGAAUCUAGAUAUUCAAGAGGCUCAAAGAACCCUAAAUAGGGUAAACUCAAAAAGACCCACACCGGAAUGCAAAAGUGAGCUGGGUGUGGUGGCACGUGCCUGUGGUCCCAGCUACUCGAGAGGCUAAGGCAGGAAAAUCGCUUGAACCCAGGAGGCAGAGAUUGCGGUGAGCCGGGAUUGCGCCAGUGCACUCCAGCUGGGCGACAGAGCGAGAUUCCAUCUCGAAAAAAAAAAAAAAAAAAAAAAAAAACUAUUGCUGCAGUCAUUCAGAUGGAAAUGGGGAAAGAAUAAUAUUAACUGAUUUCAAAAAGGACUUGAAGAUGUGAAUCAUCUAUUUUGCUGAAGAAAUCUUAACUCUUUGAAAUUACUUUUUGUUGCUGUUGUCAUACUCUUAGGUGCCAAACUGCGGUAAAUUUUUUAUCAGUGAAGUGGAAGCAUGUGUUUUGUUGUUUUGGGAAUUUUUAUCAAGUAUCUUCAGAGAAGAUUAUUUCCUGCUUUAUCUUCAAAAACUGGAAAGGAAGGGUCAAAGAAAAGACAGUAGCUGGCCGGUCAUGGUGGCUCAUGCCUGUAAUCCCAACACUUUGGGAGGCUGAGGUGGGCAGAUCACCUGAGGUUGGGAGUUCGAGGCCAGCCUGACCAACGUGGAGAAAUGCCAUCUCUACUAAAGAUGCAAGGAUUGGCCGGGCGUGGUGGUGCGUGCCUGUGAUCCCAGCUGCUCAGGAGGCUGAGGCAGGAGAAUCGCUUGGACCUGGGAGGUGGAGGUUGCGGUGAGCUGAGAUCACGCCAUUGCACUCCAGCCUGGGCAACAAGCGAAACUCUGUCUCAAAAAAAAAGAAAAGACAGUAGCUUAUGUUCAUGUCAAGCACCUCUCAUCACAGUCUAGUUCCAAGGAAAAAAUUCCCAGCGUUUUCUACAUUCGGUGCUGCGUCAUCUGAAAUCGGCACAUUCCAUGGAGGAAGGAGUCCUGCUUUGUUGCAUGUAUCCUAGGGUUUAAUGUUGGUAAAUGAGUCACUCUAGCAUUUGUAGAAGGCUCCCUGAGACUCCUGCAGCAGUCGACCAAGCCCAAGGACAUAAUUGAAUCUGGAGAGUCCUGGGGCCUUGUUUUGAAAAAGACUUGAAAUACACAUAGGAAGAAAGGC